CGAGAAUGACCACAAGUGGAGCUUGUGGCAGUGCUUUUUAGCUUGCUUUUUUCUUCCAGCUGUGAAGACGGAAAGCUGGACACUUUGCAGGAGAUGGAUGGCUUUGAGAGAGUUCAGAAAAAAUUUGCUCCCGGUGAAAUAGAAAGAGAGAAGAUAGAGCAGCUGGAAAGGAUGGUCUUGGACCUCCAACAGGACGUCCUCUCUCUAAAGAAGAAGGUACAGAGGAUGGAAUCCCUGUCCUUCCAGGAGGAGCCCCACCGGCAGCCCUGCGAGGUGGUAGAGCUCUUCAAUGGCUACACCAAAGAACAGCUCCGAGAAGCAAUCCGCUUUGACCAGAAGAUCAGCACUGCCUGCAAGACGCUGCUCUACAAGCUCUUCACAUCCGACUACAUCCAGAGCCACUCCAUCACGGGGCGCAGAGGCAACACUUUCCGAGAGGCGAAGCCCAUGAUGGAUGAGCGCUGCAUCAAAAUCAUCAGGGUGCUGCUGAAACAGAAGUUUGGGGACCACCUCAGCGACACGGUGAUCACUGAGAAGAUACAAAACGUGCAGAAAGCUCUGAGGCAGAAGUUUAAGACGGAAUGUCUCUGACGUGGGGGUGAUUUGGUGUCUCUGGUCCUACUCUUCUCAUUGAUGCGCCUGAGCAUCCCUCCCAGAAAUACCGUGUGUGCGUUGCUGCUGCUUGGCUGAUUGCUCCUGAGGCACUGAAGAUGAUACAAACCUUCCACAGUCGUCUACCUGCAUUAAUCAGAGGGAAGUUUGCUCAGCUUAGCUCCAGGUUUGCACAUCUGCCAGCACUUUACCAGUUCCUUCCACUCCAGCCUGUGUGCCAGUCUCAAUUCAUGGAUGGCUGGGUGUUGAUCCCUGCAUCUUCUUGAUGGACACAUUCAAAAGAUGGAAAUUUACCAUUGGAUCCAAGCAUGGGGUGGUGAGCCAGCCUUGUUCUACCUUGCAGUGGCCAGGGAGGGAGAUUGGUGAUGGCAGAGGAGCUGUAGCCCCAAGAAAGCAGCAGCUCCAUUCGCACAGGAACUUGGUAGCACCCAACGUGACUUCUCCCUGCAUGGCACAGCAGUCCUCUCCCUUUUUGAAUGCAUACUGCAGCUUCUCAUGGUAACAGAAGGGCAGGCUCAUUAACACAAUGCCAUAAAACCUUCAGAGAAGGAUUCUUUCUUUUUUCUUUUUUUUUUUUUUCCCCUCUGCUUUAAUGUGGCUGUCUGGAAGAAGCGUCUGCACUAACAAAGUCUGCUGAACAAGAGAAGGUCUUUUAUGGAAGUUACAUCGCAUUGGUUUUCUUUUUAAAACUAGAUUAUCUCCAUGGAGAAAUCCUGCAUGUUUCAGUGAAUGGGGCAAGCAAUGGGGGCAAAAACUGGCCAACUGCAGGUACACCUUUCCUUCAAAGAUCAGACACAUCAUGAUGCAGCCGUUAUAAUUUAAGUACAGUGUUUCUAUCCUAACUAAGAAAUGAGGUAGAAUCAGCUGUUUGUUUUUUUUUUUCUGUGUGAGAGGCUGAGAGAAAGGACUAGGAAAAAAACAUCAUUUUUUUUCCUGAACAGAUUAGAGUUGGGGUCUGGGUGCAUUAAAAGUGUUUUUAACAUUAAAAGAAUAACAGUCUGGCACUAAUCCACCUGACAGAAAUGCUGCAAAUUACCAAACGUUUCCUUUGAAAGAAGCUUCUCAGACGUGAAUUAUUUCUUAAUUUUGAAAUUAUUCAGACAAGGAAAUGUCAGUUGCUUUGAGUUAAAAUGUUUGGUUUAAUUUAUGUAUUUUUCUCUGUUUCCAGUGUUUAAUAUCUUCACGGCCACACAAGAGAUAAUAGUGCAAAAUAAAUGUACUGAAAAUAGGGAGAAAAAAAAAAAG
ensembl:lncRNA